rnacentral:rRNA from 1 species
CCUACGGGGUGCGGCAGUGGGGAAUAUUGGACAAUGGGCGAAAGCCUGAUCCAGCCAUGCCGCGUGUGUGAAGAAGGCCUUCGGGUUGUAAAGCACUUUCAGUGGGGAAGAAAGCCUUGGGGCUAAUACCCUCGAGGAAGGACAUCACCCACAGAAGAAGCACCGGCUAACUCCGUGCCAGCAGCCGCGGUAAUACGGCGGGUGCGAGCGUUAAUCGGAAUUACUGGGCGUAAAGCGCGCGUAGGCGGUCUGAUAAGCCGGUUGUGAAAGCCCCGGGCUCAAACUGGGAACGGCAUCCGGAACUGUCAGGCUAGAGUGCAGGAGAGGAAGGUAGAAUUCCCGGUGUAGCGGUGAAAUGCGUAGAGAUCGGGAGGAAUACCAGUGGCGAAGGCGGCCUUCUGGACUGACACUGACGCUGAGGUGCGAAAGCGUGGGUAGCAAACAGGAUUAGAUACCCGAGUAGUC